rnacentral:rRNA from 1 species
UACGUAGGGGGCAAGCGUUGUCCGGAUUUAUUGGGCGUAAAGAGCGUGUAGGCGGCUUGGUAGGUCUCGCGUCAAAACCUGAGGCUCAACCUCAGUUCGCGUGGGAAACCACCUAGCUAGAGUCCGGAAGAGGAGAACGGAAUUCCCAGUGUAGCGGUGAAAUGCGCAGAUAUUGGGAAGAACACCAGUGGCGAAGGCGGUUCUCUGGGCAUUACCUGACGC